rnacentral:rRNA from 1 species
GACGAACGCUGGCGGCGUGCCUAAUACAUGCAAGUUGAGCGCUGAAGGUUGGUACUUGUACCAACUGGAUGAGCAGCGAACGGGUGAGUAACGCGUGGGGAAUCUGCCUUUGAGCGGGGGACAACAUUUGGAAACGAAUGCUAAUACCGCAUAAAAACUUUAAACACAAGUUUUAAGUUUGAAAGAUGCAAUUGCAUCACUCAAAGAUGAUCCCGCGUUGUAUUAGCUAGUUGGUGAGGUAAAGGCUCACCAAGGCGAUGUUACAUAGCCGACCUGAGAGGGUGAUCGGCCACAUUGGGACUGAGACACGGCCCAAACUCCUACGGGAGGCAGCAGUAGGGAAUCUUCGGCAAUGGACGAAAGUCUGACCGAGCAACGCCGCGGGAGUGAAGAAGGUUUUCGGAUCGUAAAACUCUGUUGGUAGAGAAGAACGUUGGUGAGAGUGGAAAGCUCAUCAAGUGACGGUAACUACCCAGAAAGGGACGGCUAACUACGUG